GGGUCAGUAGGUUGGUCGUGCCACCGGUACGUACUGGUCUCACUGAUUCCUCCUUCCUGAAGAACCGUAAUGCCAUUAAUUUGGUGUUGCGGGGAAACAGGACUGUUACUUUGAAAAGAUUAGAGUGUUUAAAGCAAGCUAACGCUUGAAUACAUUAGCAUGGAAUAAUGAAAUAGGACGAUCGAUCCUAUUUUGUUGGCUUCUAGGAUUGACGUA
rnacentral:rRNA from 1 species